rnacentral:rRNA from 1 species
AAACCAACAGGGAUUGCCUCAGUAACGGCGAGUGAAGCGGCAACAGCUCAAAUUUGAAAUCUGGCCUCUCGGGGUCCGAGUUGUAAUUUGUAGAGGAUGUUUCGGGUACCGCCCCGGUCUAAAUUUCUUGGAACAGAAUGUCAGAGAGGGUGAGAAUCCCGUCCUGGACCGGCGGUAGGGCCUGUGUGAAACUCCUUCGACGAGUCGAGUUGUUUGGGAAUGCAGCUCAAAAUGGGUGGUAAAUUUCAUCUAAAGCUAAAUAUUGGCCAGAGACCGAUAGCGCACAAGUAGAGUGAUCGAAAGAUGAAAAGCACUUUGAAAAGAGAGUUAAACAGUAUGUGAAAUUGUUGAAAGGGAAGCGCUGGCGACCAGACUUGCGCGCGGCGGUUCCCCCUGCCUUUUGGCUGGGUUACUCCGCCGCGUCCAGGCCAACAUCGGUUCUGGGGGUCGGUCAAAGGCCCCGGGAAUGUAUCUACCCUUCGGGCGUAGACUUAUAGCCCGGGGCGUCAUGCGACCUCCCGGGACCGAGGAACGCGCUUCGGCUCGGAUGUUGGCGUAAUGGUCGUCAGCGACCCGUCUUGAACCACGGACCAUGGAUAUCUC